CGGCGUGCCUAAUACAUGCAAGUCGAACGCACUCUCGUUUAGAUUGAAGGAGCUUGCUCCUGAUUGAUAAGCAUUUGAGUGAGUGGCGGACGGGUGAGUAACACGUGGGUAACCUGCCCUAAAGUGGGGGAUAACAUUUGGAAACAGAUGCUAAUACCGCAUAAAACCUAGCACCGCAUGGUGCAGGGUUGAAAGAUGGUUUCGGCUAUCACUUUAGGAUGGACCCGCGGUGCAUUAGUUAGUUGGUGAGGUAAAGGCUCACCAAGACCGUGAUGCAUAGCCGACCUGAGAGGGUAAUCGGCCACACUGGGACUGAGACACGGCCCAGACUCCUACGGGAGGCAGCAGUAGGGAAUCUUCCACAAUGGACGAAAGUCUGAUGGAGCAACGCCGCGUGAGUGAAGAAGGUUUUCGGAUCGUAAACACUGUUGUUGGAGAAGAAUGUAUCUGAUAGUAACUGAUCAGGUAGUGACGGUAUCCAACCAGAAAGCCACGGCUAACUACGUG
rnacentral:rRNA from 1 species